rnacentral:rRNA from 1 species
AUGCCAGGCGGAACUACACUUGCUUUAGUUAGCGAGUUUAUUGAUGACGAGAACUGGACAUGGCACCGGGAAUUGAUUCGGAAUGUAUUUAUCCCUCCGGACACUGAUGCUAUUCUCAACAUACCACUCUGAAAGGGGGGUGGUGAGGAUUCUAUUGCUUGGGCCCACGAAGUGAAUGGCAACUACUCUGUCAAAUCUGCGUAUCGUGCUCUCGUGACUCGCAAUGAGCGAUUAGCUCUAGAGGAAGGGACAGUUAUUAGCACCUCACAGACUGACGAACAGAUGUGGAAGCGACUAUGGAAGCUCAAUGUUCUGCCUAAAGUACGGGUAUUCUAG